rnacentral:rRNA from 1 species
CCUACGGGCGGCAGCAGUGGGGGAUAUUGCACAAUGGGGGGAACCCUGAUGCAGCGACGCCGCGUGGGUGAAGGAGUAUUUCGGUAUGUAAAGCCCUAUCGGCAGGGAAGAAGCAAGACGGUACCUGACUAAGAAGCCCCGGCUAACUACGUGCCAGCAGCCGCGGUAAUACGUAGGGGGCGAGCGUUAUCCGGAUUCACGGGGUGUAAAGGGAGCGUAGACGGCCAUGCAAGCCAGGGGUGAAAGCCCGGGGCCCAACCCCGGGACUGCCCUUGGAACUGCAUGGCUGGAGUGCGGGAGGGGCAGGCGGAAUGCCUGGUGUAGCGGUGAAAUGCGUAGAUAUCAGGAGGAACACCGGCGGCGAAGGCGGCCUGCUGGACCGCGACUGACGUUGAGGCUCGAAAGCGUGGGGAGCGAACAGGAUUAGAUACCCCAGUAGUC